rnacentral:rRNA from 1 species
CACGGGGGGAGCAAGCGUUGUUCGGAUUUACUGGGCGUAAAGGGCGGGUAGGCGGCCACUGCAAGUCGGUUGUGAAAUCUCCGGGCUUAACUCGGAAAGGUCAAUCGAUACUGCAGGGCUAGAGUGCAGAAGGGGCAACUGGAAUUCUCGGUGUAGCGGUGAAAUGCGUAGAUAUCGAGAGGAACACCUGCGGCGAAGGCGGGUUGCUGGGCUGACACUGACGCUGAACUGCGAAAGCUAGGGGAGCGAACGGG